UCUGACAAAGAGAUUUGCAGAGUGUCGGGUGACCGGCAAAGAGAUCUGCAAAGUGUCAGUUGAAGACGGCGGGAGGGGUCGCAAAGGUAGCAAUGACUGGAGCAUAACAUGCAGGAAAUCAUAAUUUGGCAAAGUUCUGGCAAAGAGAUUUGCAGAGUGUCGGGUGACCGGCAAAGAGAUCUGCGAAGUGUCAGUUGAAGAUGACGGGAGGGGUCGCAGAGGAAUUAGAGACUGGAGAAUAACAUGCAAGAGUGGGUGAUCCCUGAAUAGCUGCCCUGGGAGGAGAGCUGCGGACACAUGCUCCAAAUGUUGGGACAUAUGCAUUACCUGUUAGGACAUGCGGUAAAGAUGUCGGCUGUUGGGUUUAUGGCAGUCAGAAUACUGACACUGGGAUCCCAACACUCUUCAGAAUCCCGACGUUGGAACUCCGAAUGGGAAAGGGUACCGACGCCCAUAUCCUCACGAUCAUAGGUUUAGGGCUGGGCAAGAGGGGUUAGGUUUAGGCAUCAGGCGGGAGGUUAGGUUUAGGCAUCAGC